rnacentral:lncRNA from 1 species
AGGCCAAGGCAGGAGGAUCACAGGUUCAAAGUCAGCCUUAGGAAUUUAGCAUGGCCCUAAGCAACUUAGCAAGACUCCUAUCUCACACUAAAUAAAUAAAUAAGGUGCUGAGGUUAUAGCUCCGUGAUUAAGCACCUCUGAAUUCAAUUCCCAGUACCCCCCCCCCAAAAAAAAAGGUACCUGGCUGUCCCAGCUCACAUGGGACAGAGAAAAGUCCUAAGGUGAUAGAAUCAAACAUAGGCAGUUUAGACACUUUAGAGGCUUUAGAAAGGAGAGGAAGAAUAAAAGGGGAAGAUGCACAAGGCAUUUUUCUAGGCCGAAGGGUACCUAGAAGGUGAGGGAUAGGCUGCUAAGGAAACCCAUCCCGGAGGGCAGGGCUCACCAGCUGGACUCUGAUGAAAAGGCUUUCAGAAAUUUGGUAAGUGGAUAGUGGCUCACCUCCUUCUGAACCCCUCAGCUUGUCUUUUUGAUCAAUUUGAGUGUAAUUUAUCUUUUUCCUUAGAAGCAAAAGGUAUUACUGUCAAGAACCUUAGCUAAUAGACUUGCCCUCCACAUGGAUCUCUUAACUGAGUUCCCAUUAAAGUGGAUGAAACCUUACAUUACUGAUGAAAACUGUAAAUGAUGUGUCAUUAAUAAUGAUACUUUGUUCUUCUAAAAGCCCUUUGUUCAGAAAGUCCAAGGUGCUUAACACUAUGUGGUCUCAUUAAUCUUAUCCAUCAAAACUCAUGAGUUUUAGACAGUCCUCAAAACCAGCAAAUGAGGUAGAAAGAGAUUCCUUCCUAUUUUGCUCAGCUUUAUUCAAAAUGCCAUAAAAAUAUGUGGUAUUCUAAAAACCAACCAAAAGCUUAACUUCUGG